rnacentral:rRNA from 1 species
UACGUAGGGGGCAAGCGUUGUCCGGAUUUAUUGGGCGUAAAGAGCGUGUAGGCGGCCAAGCAGGUCCGUUGUGAAAACUCGAGGCUCAACCUCGAGACGCCGAUGGAAACCGUUUGGCUAGAGUCCGGAAGAGGAGAGUGGAAUUCCUGGUGUAGCGGUGAAAUGCGCAGAUAUCAGGAGGAACACCAGUGGCGAAGGCGGCCUUCUGGGUCGACCCUGACGCUGAGGCGCGAAAGCGUGGGGAGCGAACGGG